rnacentral:rRNA from 1 species
AUUGAACGCUGGCGGCAGGCCUAACACAUGCAAGUCGAACGAGUGGCGGACGGGUGAGUAACGCGUGGGAACCUGCCCUUAAGUCUGGGAUACCAUUUGGAAACAGAUGCUAAUACCGGAUACUAAAGGAUGGACCUGCGAUGCAUUAGCUAGUUGGUAAGGUAACGGCUUACCAAGGCGAUGAUGCAUAGCCGAGUUGAGAGACUGACCAGCCACACUGGAACUGAGACACGGUCCAGACUCCUACGGGAGGCAGCAGUGGGGAAUAUUGCACAAUGGGCGCAAGCCUGAUGCAGCCAUGCCGCGUGUAUGAAGAAGGCCUUCGGGUUGUAAAGUACUUUCAGCGAGGAGGCGUUACUCGCAGAAGAAGCACCGGCUAACUCCGUGCCAGCAGCCGCGGUAAUUC